UACGUAGGGUGCGAGCGUUGUCCGGAAUUAUUGGGCGUAAAGAGCUCGUAGGCGGUCUGUCGCGUCUGCCGUGAAAGUCCGGGGCUCAACUCCGGAUCUGCGGUGGGUACGGGCAGACUAGAGUGAUGUAGGGGAGACUGGAAUUCCUGGUGUAGCGGUGAAAUGCGCAGAUAUCAGGAGGAACACCGAUGGCGAAGGCAGGGUCUCUGGGCAUUAACUGACGCUGAGGAGCGAAAGCAUGGGGAGCGAACAGG
rnacentral:rRNA from 1 species